UUGAUCACUGAUGACUACAAAAUGUGGGAGUCGUAUGAGACAUGAAUGAUGACUACAACUUUUCAAGUCUGAGGUCCAC
ensembl:snoRNA LOC120096379 small nucleolar RNA SNORD113/SNORD114 family